rnacentral:rRNA from 1 species
GACAGAGGUGGCGAGCGUUGUUCGGAAUUACUGGGCUUAAAGGGCGAGUAGGCGGUGGAGCAAGUCUGAGGUGGAAUCCUAUGGCUUAACCAUAGAACUGCCUUAGAAACUGUUUCACUUGAGUCAGUGAGGGGAGGGCGGAAUUCCCGGUGUAGCGGUGAAAUGCGUAGAUAUCGGGAGGAAGGCCGGUGGCGAAGGCGGCCCUCUGGCACUGUACUGACGCUGAGGCGCGAAAGCGUGGGGAGCAAACAGG